rnacentral:rRNA from 1 species
GUUCUCCCUGACUCCUUGAGAGUCCUGAAGGAACGUUGAAGACGACGACGUUGAUAGGCCGGAUGUGUAAGCGCAGCGAUGCGUUGAGCUAACCGGUACUAAUGAACCGUGAGGCUUAACCUUACAACGCCGAAGCUGUU